AAAGACCAGUGAGCUGAGGAGUAAUGGCGAGCCCGCAAGGGUGGAAGCAACUGAGCCCAAACUGUACAAGAAAAGCUUCUAGGGAGACUUGCGUGCCCGUACCGCAAACCGACACCGGUAGAUGAGUUGAAUAUACUAAGGGGCUCGGGAGAACCUUCGUUAAGGAAUUAGGCAAAUUAGAUCCGUAACUUCGGGAGAAGGAUCGCCUGUGUAGGGAUGAGGUAGCAGACGCUACCGAGUCUGAAAAGGCCGCAGAGAAAUGGCUCUAUCAACUGUUUACCAAAAACACAGGUCUGUGCGAAGUCGUGAGACGAAGUAUACAGGCUGACGCCUGCCCAGUGCCGGAAGGUUAAGGGGAGAGGUUAACGCUUUGAACCGAAGCCCCGGUGAACGGCGGCCGUAACUAUAACGGUCCUAAGGUAGCGAAAUUCCUUGUCGGGUAAGUUCCGACCCGCACGAAAGGCGUAAUGAAUGGAGCACUGUCUCAACGAAGGACCCGGUGAAACUGAACUAGGAGUGAAGAUGCUCUUUACCCGCAGCAGGACG
rnacentral:rRNA from 1 species